UACGAAGGGGGCUAGCGUUGCUCGGAAUCACUGGGCGUAAAGCGCACGUAGGCGGAUCUUUAAGUCAGGGGUGAAAUCCUGGAGCUCAACUCCAGAACUGCCUUUGAUACUGGGGAUCUCGAGUCCGGAAGAGGUAAGUGGAACUCCGAGUGUAGAGGUGAAAUUCGUAGAUAUUCGGAAGAACACCAGUGGCGAAGGCGGCUUACUGGUCCGGUACUGACGCUGAGGUGCGAAAGCGUGGGGAGCGAACAGG
rnacentral:rRNA from 1 species